UGUUAUUUAUUUCAGAUUGUAAAAUCUUCUGCUUUCUUUUUCGCACAGAUUUAUUAUCCGAAGUAUGAUCGCGUAAUGAGAUUUCAAUUUAAAUUCGGUCGAACGAUUCUCGACAUUGAUAAGUUCAAAGAACUUUAUAUAAAGUUCUGAACGUAUCGUGCACACGCAAGACACGUACGCUUUUCAUCGAAUGAAAUUUUACUCUCGAUAAAGACUCGAUCGUUGACUAAUUUGGGAUGAGCAGGUCACUGUCUUUAAUAUACUUGCGGUGAAUACGGUGACUUGAACGCAUGAUUGGUUAUUUAGUAACUUACAUUAAAUAUAUACGAUAAAUAAACUAAUAUUAUUAUAAAAAUGCAGAAAAUGAAUUCACAAUAUAAACUGCAUCAAGAGUUGAUUUGUUUAAACAGAUACAGAUAAUGGAAGAUAAUGCAAGAUUAUAAUGCAAGUAAUAUCUUUUUUAUUAUCCAUCCUUUCGUACGAUCCUUGUUGUAUGUUUUUUUCUUCUUUUUCUAAAAAAAGAAAAAAGCCAACAAAGAAAAGAAGAGAAUGAAGUAUAUUAUAAUAACAAUAAAAUAAAGUUUUAAUUAAAGAGUCAGAGUACAUUAAAAGACUAAGAAGAAAUUAUUCGUUGAAGUUAGAUGGUAAUAAAGAUAUUUAGUCUUAAAUAUUGUCAUUAUCGGCCAAUCAGUGACAUGGCAUCUAUGGCGAUGCUUACACCCAUAGGUAACUAACCAGCAUGCAUGGGUAUAUACACGAUACCAAGGUCAACGGAGGAAGUUAUCUGUAUGAACCAUACUUUCGCCUAUAGCUUAGCCAUUUUUGACGUCAAAUGUCCUGAAAAUGAAGCUGUCUCUUAAUGAACAUCAUUUUAAAACAGUAUGGUAUUAAAUAAUUCAAGAUUAUACUAAAAGGAGUUUUGAAAUGUAGAUAAAAGUAUAAUCAAUGAUAUGAAAUUUCUACCCUUUCCUUCGAGACACUUAAAUGUUUCCCCUAAAGGAAUAAAAUUAGUCGUAAUGUGUUGAA
rnacentral:lncRNA from 1 species